CUCAAUUUGAAUAUUUCCUGUCAUCUUCUCCUCCUGGUAACACCACAAUGGAACAGCAAAGCUCAUGGAAGCAAUUGCAUAGCUGAACUCUCCUAUGUAUGCAGAUCACAUGAGUAUGAACAUGGAAUCAUGGAACUAAAGUGCCAUCAGCAAUCUUUUUUCGGAUGGACUCUCCCACAUACUCUUCAGUUUUAUAAAGAAAGGCAGAAUCAAAAUGGUGAAAGCCUGCAUCUAUAGCGAUUUUGAUGAUUUCCUUCAAGUUAUUCCGGGGAAACUGGAGAGCAACGAAGGUAGCAUUUAUAGACAGACAGUGAAGCUGAAGGAAAUGGACUUAAACAAAAGAAAACAUGGUUCCAGAAUAGCAAGCAGCCAGUGACCACAUCCAGCCUUUGAGCAAUCUUUCUCUAUUGCAACACACAACUCUAGCCUCGGGAAAGGGAGAAUUUAGGAGGCCCAACGUCACUAAGAAGUACAGCAGUACCCAAGCCCAGCACAGGAAUGAAGUGCCCAUCAUUGAGCUUCACACGCUGACACUUGGAGUUCAUCCUCUGUCACUCUUCAGGAUAAAUGUGCUCUGCCUGAUGUUCUCUCUCACUGGUCAUUCAAGAAUUGGAAGUGCCUUCUCUGCCUUCCAGGAUCAAAGAGCAUAAGAGAUUAAUGAAAAGUAGUUUCUUAAGAAAAUUCAGAAGCCAGCCUUGACUGUCCUGUGGGGAAAGAAUUCUGGCAACCUUGGCAGCUACACCAUGACAUCAUUUCUUUGUGUAGCCCUGGUUAAGCUGGAACCAGCUCUGUAGACCAGGCUGGUCUCAAACUCAAAGAUCUGCCUGCCUCUGCCUCCCAAGUGCUGGGACUAAAGAGACCCGCCUCCACCCACAGGGAGAGGUGAGUGUGGGUCUGUCUAUGGCCUGCCUUCUACUUGCCCUCCUUGGAGUCUCCUGGCCUGGGGGCUGUGCACAGGAGGCUAAGCCAUCCAGAAUCUGGUAACAUUGAAGUUGUAGUCCUGCCUCCACCCAGUAGAAGACAGAGUGUCUUAGAACCUUCUGCACUCACCAUGAGAGCUGUCAGAGUAUCAAACCUGCUUGCACCCACUGAAAGGAAACCUUGGAUCCAUACCCACUAGGAGAGGGAGAGACCCCACCUGUACACACUAGAAGAAUGGAAGGGAAGGCAACAAUAUAAGAACACUUUCAACAACAGAAAAGCCAAUAUGAUGCCACCAGAGUCUAGGGACUCUACACCAAUAAGACCUAAACACAGAUGAAACAGAAGAGAAUGACGGUAAAAAAAUUUUAUGAA